GGGAUCUUAGCUCAGCUGGGAGAGCAUCUGCCUUACAAGCAGAUGGUCACAGGUUCGAGCCCUGUAGGUCCCA
rnacentral:tRNA from 1 species